rnacentral:pre_miRNA from 1 species
GGGGAGGCCAAAUCCUGGGUUGUGUCCUGGCGCCCUGUGCUUUGGGGCCUGCGCUGUUGGAUUCGUGCUCCUGGCCGCACAGCUCUCU